GUUUUGUCGAUGAGAUGGCGAGCGAUAGUACGAGAGCAGACUAAAAAGAGUAAACUAUAUCGUUAUGUUAUUCCGUUUUUAAACCGUGAUUGGGAUAUUUAGGAUAUUGACGCCGUUGUGGAAUUUACAUUACAGGAGAGAAUAAUUCUUUAACGACUGAAUCACUUUCUGAAGAGUCCUCCAGAGCUCCUAACUUUCUAGUUGACUCGGUUCAUUGGGCUGCAGUCGAGCAGCAGCUGCUAGGGAAAGUACGGUAGCUAGCGGCGCUGCGAUACGUGACGGACCGUGUCUCGAGCCGGGCCGAAGCCCAUGCACCGUCGUUGAGGGAUUCGAUUCCGGGCUUCAUGAAGGUUGAUCUGCAUCACCAGCACGAUGUCCUCUGGAAACGUCUCUACCCCUGGAUCGCCUCCAAGUCCAACCACUGUAGGAACAACAACCCCUUUGGCUAAAGUUGUGUCAACCCUUGCCCACAAUCUGUCUUCAGCAUUCCAAAAUGUUUCAAGCACUCCAGAAAUAACGACAGAAUCGCCACUGUCCGUUCACGCAAUUUUCUUGCAGACGAAAGCAGCAAAGGCAGUGGCAGGCAUCUUUGCAUGGGCAGCAUUCAUUAUUACAUGCUACCAGAUUUACAUGCACUUGAGGCAUUACACCUGUCCCGGUGAACAGCGAUGGAUAGUACGGAUCCUCUUCAUUAUUCCUAUCUACUCCUUUGACUCCUGGAUCUCCCUACUAUUCUUCAGUCAAGACCAUUAUUAUGUCUACUUUGACAGUAUCAGGGAUUGCUAUGAAGGUAAGCCAUUUUUCUCAUCAAUUUUACUUCUACAUGUACACCUUUCUCAUUUUAUAUUUUCUAAAACUAGUUUACUGGAAACCAGUCUGGAAGAUCAAAAAAUUGAUGAAAUAUCAUUUUGUCAAAAAAAUGAAAAUGGGUUUUAUUGUACUUUUUAACGACAGACAAAAUAUUUCACACCUUUUCCAGAAAGAAGAAAAUUUUUAGUCAUCAUGAACCAUUGAAAUAUUGAAAUUCAUGCAUUUUCUAUUAUUACAUUACAUAUGGGGCAGCUGCUCGUAUAUGACGUCACAAAUAAAAAACUUCAAAUUCUAAUAACUUUCGUAAUCAAAUGGAAUAUCCUAAAACAUGAUUUGUUGUUAUUUUUUCUGGUAUUUUUUUACAACAAAACUUUUCGUCAGGGUGAACUUCACCUUUCAAUACUUUGGUUGAUACAGUAGCAUGUUUUCAAUAUCUUUCAUCAAGACCAAGGCUGUGUGGAAGCAAUUAAUAACCAAGUUUGUAUCCUGAUUAGACAGAAGGUCUGCCCUGUUUUGAAUGUGUACAUAUAUGAAAUCCGAAGCCAAAAGGAAGCAGGACUUGACCCCAUAUGAGGUGACUUUCCUGUCUGUAAUUGUAAACCCGAUGACAUUUGUACACACUUGGCUGUAAUUUAGUGUAAAGUUCUUGCAGUCGGGUACUGCCACGUUGGAACGGGAUGAGAUGUGUAAUGCUAUAAAUCACUUGAUCUGACUGUAAAGGUCACCGCACUUACGAUUGGUCUGCAACCCGAUUUUGGAAUAAAACGUAAUAAAACGUGAUUUUAUAUUGAGAAAUGGAAUAUCUCACUGUGUAAAGUUUUAAAUUAUCGUAUAAAAAUGUAAAAAUUUGUGACUAUACUACAAUCCUUAUUAGAAUAAAAGCAAAUAGAAUUUCUAGUCGUAAUGAUGUCAUUGCAAUCGUACGAUUGGCUGGAUUUGAAACAAAUUUGGCCUUUACUUCCCAAUAGAUGCUUGCAAUCAUCCUCAAUUUUUACGUUAUCAUUCUUACAGCUUAUUUGAACCUCAAAUAAAGAGAUACUUUUCACUCAUAUUUUCGAAAAAAGAGCAAAAUGUGAUUUGUUCCAAAACGGAUCGUGGACCAGUCUUAAGGUGUGCUCCAUGGGUGUGCGGUGGCUUUAACAUUUCAUUCAAUCAUUAUGACCUUUUACAUCCCAGGGUAUGUGUUACUAAUGCAAUGUACUCAUCAUGAUCCAAGUGAUACGUGAAGUGGUUUGUGUUAAGAUGAGGCAGAGGGUGUGGAAGGAUGGGGGGGGGGGGGUGAAGGAUGGAUUGAAAUGAACAUGAUGGGGGACAUUUUUGGAAUGAAAGGGAUGAAGAGUCGAUGGAUGGAGCUACAGUACUUAGAAAAAACAAUCUAAUAUAAAUUUAAUAUUAAUUUUAUACUCUAUUCUAUCAAAAUAGCAUUGAGAGAAUGUUCAUUCAUGUAAUCAAAAUAUAUUAGCAUAUCAUGAGAGGGCUCAGUGAGAAUAGAGUGAAAUGUACAAGACAGUGUACUUUUGAUUUAUUUUUUAUGUUGGCACAUACAUUUACACAUGUAUGGUCUGUCCUCCAUCAACUGAUUAAAAACAAAUAAUGUGACUAAAAUGUAGUAAUGCUGCGUUCACACUUGCCUUCUACAUCGUACAGAAUAACCAGUCACAUAUUGAUUAAGUGUAAACAGAGAUCCUCCAUGGGCAUAGUACAUUAUAGUGUUACUAUACAUAUAGGACAUUAGACAGGGAGUUGAUCAUCUUAGAAUUCAAUCCUACUAUAUCAUAUGAUUUUAGUGCCAGUGAUUGAUACAUGUACAUGUAGAUCAUAAGAUGUACCAUGAAUAGUAAAGACAUUAAAUACUAAGAUGGACAACACCUUGUCCAGUGUCCUAUGUUUUGUAACCUUAUACAUGUAUGCAUGCUAGCAUGCAUGACAAAAAAAUGCACAUGAAUGAGCUCGGUUAAGGUGUAUUUAAUACUGUAUACAUUUCCAGACAGGGUUAGCACCAGAGACAUUGACAGGCACAUGUAAUGUCACACCAUAACCAUAACGAAACAUGCUAAAUACAUACAUGUACAUGUAGGGCCUAUAAUCAUAUACUUACCUAUAGAGUGAUGUACACAAAUACAUCAACAUAAUGAUAUUUAUGCCCUAUUUAUUAUAAAUGUGAAAUGAGUGUGGAAGUACUGUAUGCAUAAAUAAUGACUCAUAUAGUAUUAGUAUUGCCUGAUUGAC